AUGAGGAAGGAAACUGCUAGAACUAUCAAGGUCAUGAGAAAUGAGACGAACCUGAAUCCCUGUCACAGGCCAGAGGAGCCUAGGCUGACGGGAUGACCCUGUGGGGUCCUGGAUUAGAUCCUGGGACAGAAAAAGGGCACGAAAAAGCUGAUGAAAGCGGAGCCAGGUCUCUAGUUUACAUAAUGUCUUUGUUCUGACAAAUGUACCAGUUACAGACGGAGAGACGGUGUGUGUGUGUAGGGGGGACGGGGGGAGGCAGACUAUUAUCUUUGCAACCUUUCUGUAAAUCUAAAAGUAACUUCAAAUAAAGUCGAUUUAAAAGACCAGUAAAGCCCUAGCCAGUUUGGCUCGGUGGAUAGAGCAUCAGCCUGCGGACUGAAGGGUCCCAGGUUCGAUUCUGGUCAAGGACAUGUACCUUGGUUGCGGAUACAUCCCCAGUAGGGGGUGUGCAGGAGGCAGCUGAUCGAUGUUUCUCUUCAAUGUUUCUAACUCUCUCUCUCCCUUCCUCUCUGUAAAAAAAUCAAUAAAAUAUAUUUAAAAAAUAAAAAUAAAAUACCUGUAAAUUGCUGAUACACUUAAGGCACAUACCUGAAAAUAUUGAUCACAGCAUAUUCAUAAGAAAAAAUUGUUUCCCUCCCUGCUCUUGUUUUUUAAGGAUAAAAAUGUAUAGUUUAAUCAUAAAACAUUGUCAAAGUUUUACAUAAGUAUUGUAUUCAUUUCCAAUGUCAAAAGUAGUAAUUUAUUUCAAAAAUUGCCUUCCUCUGUCAGGGGCCUCGUUAGGAAGCAGAAGGCACAUGGCUGUGGGCCCUGCCUCUGAGCCAGAAGGGGAGGGAGGAGAACGCACAGACUCUAGAAGCACCCAGUCCGAGCAGCUUGUCCAGCUCUGAGGCUUGGCUCCAGCUCUGAGGCCUCGGCUGCUGAAAGCAGCCUCUUGCACGUGCUGGGAAGACCUUGCCUUCGUCCCUGCGCUGGCUGUCUCCAUGCCACAGGGCUCAGCUUCAGGAUCACCUCCGGGAGCCUCUCCUGCUGCCCAGCUCACCAGAUUCUGCCUUAAAAAUUUCCUGCUUUUGUCUGUCGUCUCCACCAGAGUACGAACUCAGUGAAACCAGGGGCCACAGCUGUCUCAUUUGUCACUCC